GAUGAACGCUGGCGGCGUGCCUAAUACAUGCAAGUCGAGCGAACAGACGAGGAGCUUGCUCCUCUGACGUUAGCGGCGGACGGGUGAGUAACACGUUGAUAACCUACCUAUAAGACUGGGAUAACUUCGGGAAACCGGAGCUAAUACCGGAUAAUAUAUUGAACCGCAUGGUUCAAUAGUGAAAGACGGUUUUGCUGUCACUUAUAGAUGGAUCCGCGCCGCAUUAUCUAGUUGGUAAGGUAACGGCUUACCAAGGCGACGAUGCGUAGCCGACCUGAGAGGGUGAUCGGCCACACUGGAACUGAGACACGGUCCAGACUCCUACGGGAGGCAGCAGUAGGGAAUCUUCCGCAAUGGGCGAAAGCCUGACGGAGCAACGCCGCGUGAGUGAUGAAGGUCUUCGGAUCGUAAAACUCUGUUAUUAGGGAAGAACAAAUGUGUAAGUAACUAUGCACGUCUUGACGGUACCUAAUCAGAAAGCAACGGCUAACUACGUG
rnacentral:rRNA from 1 species